AUGUCCAGUCUCUUAAAAUACUCCUAAAAUAAUAAACAUCAGACAUGAUGUGAUGAUAUGAUACGAUGGUACUGUGCCGUCGAUCUGCUCACGAAGUCUACUGUAGCUGAUUAAAAAGCCAUAUUUAUGUUAACAUCAUAUUCAUCCCUCAGCUUCAGCUCCAGUGUCGUCUCUUUGUUUUUGUUGAAAUAAUAUAACCAUUGUGCCGUUUCUCUUCUUUCCCAUAACAGUUACAACUCUUUGCUCAGAACAGGAACUGGGUGAGAAACUUAUGAAGGCUCCAAAACCCCUUAGUUCCUCAAAACGUUGUGUUAAUUUGUCACCUUGUUUUUCAUCUUUCUAAAAUAUACAAAAGUGUCUCCGUUGCUCAUUCUCACAAACUCUUCUAUUAGCACUUCUUUCAUUUAUUUUUACAGAGAUCCUCCAAACUGUAUGUUCCUUCUUGCUGUACUAACCUCCCUCCAACACGACUGUAGCUCAGUGGUAUUUUAAGCCCUGACCUAGUGCUCUAGCAUGAAGAUGUGUUUUUAUAGCACUCUGGAUAAAUGUUAUAAAAGUUCCCUACAGCUCACAUUUGACCAGACAGCGAUGUUUGUUACGGAAAGAGUCACUGAAAAAUGUCGACUCUGCACUGGGAGGAACUAAAAUCAGCAGAGCUUUCUGAAAAAUAUCAUGAGCAAAAAGAUCCAGAAGAGGAAAAGGCAUCAGAUCAGCGUCAGCAGUUUGGUGAUCUGCAGACGAGGCACAGUCAGUAACGAGCACAUGAAUCAGUGACUGUCUCUACACUUCCCCUCCUCCUGUCGACCUAAUCCAUAAUCCCGUGGAAAUCAGGCAGGAGGAACAGUGCAGCUUUGAUCAGGCUCUUGUCUCAGUGCUGCGUUAGGUGUCCUCACAUCCUGCUGUGCCCCGGUGCUCGCAGCACGUCUAACAUAGAAGCCAAAAGCAGGACCUCCUGUACGUCGACUUAUUUUGUCUGAACUGAACAGAAAAAAGAGAUCACUGUUCUUCCAUUAAUCACUCCAUCAUAAAUAGUUGGUUAUAUAAAUAGUCCAACAAGGAUGCUUUGUUUAUCCUAAAAAAAAAAAAAAGUUCAUGAUGCUCCUUGGUCUACUACAUAAAAAUGUGGUGGAAAAUUCGAGAGUGAAUAUU